GAUGAACGCUGGCGGCGUGCCUAAUACAUGCAAGUCGAGCGAACGGACGAGAAGCUUGCUUCUCUGAUGUUAGCGGCGGACGGGUGAGUAACACGUGGAUAACCUACCUAUAAGACUGGGAUAAAUUCGGGAAACCGGAGCUAAUACCGGAUAAUAUUUUGAACCGCAUGGUUCAAAAGUGAAAGACGGUCUUGCUGUCACUUAUAGAUGGAUCCGCGCUGCAUUAGCUAGUUGGUAAGGUAACGGCUUACCAAGGCAACGAUGCAUAGCAGACCUGAGAGGGUGAUCGGCCACACUGGAACUGAGACACGGUCCAGACUCCUACGGGAGGCAGCAGUAGGGAAUCUUCCGCAAUGGGCGAAAGCCUGACUGAGCAACGCCGCGUGAGUGAUGAAGUUCUUCGGAUCGUAAAACUCUGUUAUUAGGGAAGAACAUAUGUGUAAGUAACUGUGCACAUCUUGACGGUACCUAAUCAGAAAGCCACGGCUAACUACGUG
rnacentral:rRNA from 1 species